ACAAGCGGUGGAGUAUGUGGUUAAUCGAUGCAACGCGAAGACCUUACCUGGUCUUGACAUCCCGGAGACCCUUAGGAAACUAGGGGUGCUUCCAUCUGGAAGAAUCUGGAGACAGGUGCUGCAUGGCUGUCGUCAGCUCGUGUCGUGAGAUGUUGGGUUAAGUCCCGCAACGAGCGCAACCCUUGCCUUUAGUUGCCAGCAGUUCGGCUGGGCACUCUAAAGGGACUGCCGGUGUUAAACCGGAGGAAGGUGGGGAUGACGUCAAGUCCUCAUGGCCUUUAUGACCAGGGCUACACACGUACUACAAUGGCCGAUACAAAGGGCAGCGACACUGCGAGGUGAAGCCAACUCCGUAAAAUCGGUCUCAGUCCGGAUUGGAGUCUGCAACUCGACUCCAUGAAGUUGGAAUCGCUAGUAAUCGUGGAUCAGCAUGCCACGGUGAAUACGUUCCCGGGCCUU
rnacentral:rRNA from 1 species